AGUGCGGGCAGCCCUAAUUGCUGAUGAGGUGCAGGUGGAAAGGAUCAGGCCACGGGGUGGACCCCGCCCCCUCCCCCGCAGUUGAAAGAGCCUAGCUGAGAGCGCAUGAAGGGGAAGGUUGUGGUUGUUGUUAUAGUUAAUACGGGGGAAGUGGUUGCUUGUUUUGCAUCUAGAAGGGCACUGUUUCUGUUUGUUAAAUUUGAGGGAGUGGGAUUUUUAUGUUUGCCUCUUUUCUGAGAGAGGCUUAAAAUAGGUGGUGUGUUAAGGGGCUUGGAAAGACAUGUGAUUGUGUUUUGGCAAGCCCAGUUUGCAGGAGUUGUAGUUCCUAUAUCUUCAAAGCUGUGUGGACCGUGUGUUUGCCUGCUGUUGCCAGGGCAUGGACAGAGGAAAGAUCUUGGAGCAUCCAAAGAGGAACGGGAACUUGCAGUGGAUCUGCUUGGAGGACAGUGACUGUUUCUGUAUGGCUGCAUGAGCCUCAGGCCUGACACCAAGCAGAAGUUCUGAAGUGUGAGGCCCAAAAGAGGCUUUCCAAGCUGGUGACCUGGAUGAAGAGAUGUGGGAAGUCUGAAGCCUGCAGGAAGUUUGAAGCCUCUGUGAGCAGAUAUACCAAAGACCUGUCAGCUGUUGCUCGACUAAGGCAGUGGAAGAUGGAGAGCCAGCCCAGGUGCCUUGAGCAGCGGACCAGAGUCCCAUGGCACUGCUCUUCUCCCCAGCAGUGGGCCAGCCUCCUGUUUUCCCCAAACCUUGGGACUUGCCUGAUCUCUUCACAGCCUGACAACAGCCCUUCUGCUAUCAGGGCUUCUUUUGCAGGCUUGGACAAAGACUCAAGGUACAGUCACAGUUCCCAUAACUAUCACUGCCCAGUUGAGAGAAGCAGCAGGUGACGCAUCUUCAGCCUGAUGCCCUAUUGUCACAUACCAGAAGCAAGAGAACAUGUGCUUGCUCCAGCACGUGUCCAACAACCCACAAGAGCGCAAUAGAGACCCUCGCUUAAACCAGUGGGGGAACUUGGGAGGGAGGUAGCACGCACUGGCAGCAGCUGACUUAGAAUCUGGGAAGUUCUCCAACUUUCCCUUCAGUCUGCCCUGUGUUUUGAGGUGGCUUGUUCCAGUACCAUCACAAAGGCUGUGACCCCUUCUUAUUCACACUGCUUGGUUUCUCUGGAACUUUUUGCAACUGAACCAAAGCAGUUCUUGUUUGGAUUGCAAAGGUGUCAGUUAGGUGGGGUUUUCCCCUUCCUGUGCAAGAUGCAAAAUCCUCCCUUCCAGAACUGUCUCUUGUAUACCAUCAUGGAACGCUGCUGCUGCCUGUCGCUGUCGUGUUUCCUUUUGACCUUGGCUUACGGUCUGUGCUGACAUAGCUGCUAGUGGGGUGUUUUGGUUUUUAGCUUUUUUAAAUUUGGGUGGUGGGAGGGGAACUGUUGCAAGGAACCUGACGCAUGUAUAGAGAGAUGUUGGCUAUAAUAGAAGCAUCUGGUUAGAUCAGUUCCUGCUACUAACUUUUCCAUGCCAAAGGGCUGAUGAUCUGCAUUGGGAUGAUCUGCUUGAUCAUGUUGUCAUGUUGCCUUUGCUCCAUUUGCUCUGGCUUUGUUGGCCAGCAAAGGAAAGGAAGAAAUGAGUACAUCAACUGAUGGUCACACCUGUAAUACUUGCUUGGUGGUCUGAUAGAAACAGUCUAUUAGACAUCUCGUGCUUCAGCCACAUGUCUGUAGUGUGGCAUAGGAUUUGGAAAUGGCCAAGUGUGGCAAAAGUAAGGCUUGCAAUAAUAUCUUCUCAAAAGAUGAAAUAAGAAGGUACUGCUACUAGUGCUUUCCAAGAAACAACUUUUUUUUCUUUUUCCACCAGACCAGUUCAUGGUAUCCUUGACCAAGAGAUUUCCUUCUGUUUCCCCAGGCUGUGGCUUCUUAGUGCAUAGACCAUGCUGAUCUAGACUAGCAUAAGCACAUAGUAUCCCUAAUACCAGCUCUUGCAAGGUCCACAGUCUGCACCAGUAACUCUGUGGCUCCAGUUACUGACCACGGCCCUGGCUUGCUAGACUGCUGUUGCUAGUCUGCUUCUGGAGCCUCACUCUGCCCCAAUGCAGUGAGAUCUGACUGGGCUCAGGAUGUUGUAUACAGUGCCUGCAGGAGAGACUUCCUACUACAAUGGUGUCCUCAACUGAGAGGCAGCAGGCCUGUAGGGCACUGGGUGAUGACUGCAUCGGAAACCCUUUUGCCACUCCCCUCAGCAGAGGGGCUUGAGGCUAAGCUCCUGGUGGAGGCCAGAGUGAGAUGUAGACUACAGCUUCAGACCAAGAUGGCACAGAGUCCAGCCUGCAGGGAAGUGGGACCCAGACUGCCUUGAGCUGAUGUAUCUGGCUAGCUGAAGCAAGUUUUGGCUGCAUGCCCAAGUCCUGGAAGAAGGUAAUAACCUGGCUUCUCCACAAAAACAGUGAGCCUGAUCUUCUACAUCCCUGGAGGCCCAUCAUCCUUUGCUCUACCAUAUGUGUAAACAGUAUGCUGGGCUACAACUCGGCCCAGAUCACAUACUAGGCAGUGAAUGGAAGGGUCACUGGUCUGAAUCAGGAAGCUUUCAUGUCCAGUGAGGGCUGUUGAACACAACUUUGCUGCUGGUGACCCACAACCGCACCCAGAGAGCACGAUGUCCACAUGCAGGCUUCUGGCGCAGUCCCUUCCCAAGCUCCUGGAAGAUGAUGAAGAUGCCUGGGUAUGUCAGGCCAGACUUGCCCAGCUGGUCCAUAAGGUCUACAACAGCUACAGUAUCACUUCCUGCAAAUGGGUGUGAAACACUGUUCCUGACAGACUGUACUACUUUCAACCAAGGCUGCCUCUAAUAUCCCAGCAUCAGAACACUCGGCCCAUCUUUUUGUGCAGGGGUCCCAGGCAAAAAGGUAGAUAUCCAGGUCUCUGAGGAUGACUUGAUGAACUCCUGAAGGUGCUGAGCAAAAGCAGUGAGGCAGCUGACUGAGCAGAGCUCUUGUUUCCAUGCAGUCCAAUGUGUUUCACUGUCACCUUUGGAAAGAAAUUGUUAUGGCUCUCAGUAUCGCGAUCCAGCAUGCACCCACAAGAGAGGUGGCAAGUAGUUAGGCCUACCUCAGCCUUAGUUCAUGCGUGGGUCAUUGAGCAUGGUGGAUGCAGAAGGACACCAUGCUGGGCAUGGGGCAGGAUGCCUACCACCUGGACCAAUUUGUGGGUACCCUGGCCAAAGACGGAAGGAGUACCAUGUCUCUGGCUGCAGCUUUUGGGCUUGUUCCAUCUCAGCUGCAGUUUCCAAUUCCAGAGCCAGACCCCUCUAUUCACAAUUUGUAGGAAACCAUUUUGGACUGCCCUCGUACUCCAAGCAUCUAAUCGCUUAUCCAGACCACUGAUGCCUUGGUCCCAAACAGUCUACCAGGGCCAGUCCUUUCAGAGCUGUGGGGCAGGCCCCAAAAUGGACAUGCAAACUGCACUCUGCUUGAACAUCCCCAAAAGCCCUUUGUAGCCCCUGACUCCCAAGAUAUGAUGGUCCAUCUUCAGCAGGCAGUUCAGCAGCUCCAGGCCCUGAUUGAAUCCCUGAAGGGGGAAAACAGGACCUGUUUGCCUGCCUGGAAGAGGCACAGGCCAAGGCUGGGCAAGACCUGGCAAGAAGACAAACCCACAUGGGCAGUAGCAGCACUUGCUUCUGGCAGGAGGGCUUUAGCUGAGGCUCAAAUCCCACUCCCUGAGCACUUGAGCAGGAGCCAAGGAAGUGUUCUGGGAUUCCUGAAUUGGCGCUGCCUUCUGUUCCCCCUGCGCCCCAUCAUUUGUUCCACAGACCAGGCCAAGAUGGGACUAAUCAUGAGCCUGCUUGCAAGGGGGAGUCCUGGCCUGGGUCACCUGCUGAUACCAUGGAACCUCGCUACUGAUUUUUCUGAUGACCCCCAGAAAACCUGUAGGCUAUGCCCUAAGUUGGGCCUCUGGGGGCAUGAUAGCCUUGUGAUGGGGCAUCUCAAGCAGGCCUUCCUCAGCAGUCCCGUCCUUGCACAGACUUCUUACAUUUGUGAUGGGGGCAGUGUUGUGGGGACAGGUGUCCCAAUAUAGCGGAGCCUGAAGAUCUUUAGUACCCUUCUACCUGCUACUGAAGAUAAAUAGCAUCCGUAUGAUCUAGUUUAUGGUAUUUGGAAUGAGGAGGCCCUUGACAUCAAAGCAGGCUUUUCACAGUGGUGUCCCCACCUGGAGGGGGACCGCACCCCAUAGAGGUCUUCAUGGAUAAGCACCACCUGGAAUCUCUGACCUGCAAGAAGCCUGAACCAGAGACACUGGGCUAGUUCCUAGCUUGCUAAUGGCUUCAGUUCUUCUAAUUGUGUAGCAACCAGAGACGUGCAUUGGCAGGAGGGAUGCCUUGUUGUGGAAGAAAUACUGCUGCAUUGCCCACCACAGCACCUGUCAAUUUUUCUGGGGCCACAGAAGUUCUUAUAGGCAGCACUGGGGGAGGGAUUGGAUGGAAAUGCUCCAAUCUCCUUGUCAAGACCUUCUGUUCACUGAGUAGUGUAUUUGACUGGCAAGGUUACAGACUGUCCGACUGCUUCUAGAAACUUGCAGGAAAUGCACGUGUCCCCGACCUAGUCCAAGCUUUCCAUCAGAGUUACCCAGAGAAGGCUGUCCCAGAAGCCCUUGUCCGUGCAUUGUGCUAGGAAAUGUACUGUAAGGAGACCAGACUGGAGCCCUGGAGUCGGGGGCUCCGUCGGAAGACCAGAGCUACUCAUCAUCUCCUGAGCAGGUGCCACCUGCAGCAAGCCCAGAGCAGAGGCCUGGUCCCGCUGGGCUGAGUGAGGCAAUGCAGGCAGCUAAUCCCCCUACAGUCAGUAUCUGGCCUUAGACAAACCAAACGACAAACAGUAGGCCUGUUCUUGCUUUUGUCUUGUUGUUAGUGGUCCCUGCUUCAUCCCUGUGGAUGGUGUUUUUAAAGGGUUGACGAGAAAGGGAAAGAAUGAAGAUGAGGGUGGAGGUUGGGGCCCAGGAGUGGUCAUGCAUCUUUUUCUACUUUAGCUGGUGCCCAGGAUGUUUUACCUUUGGGUUUUACAGACCACUUUAUGCUAAAAGGGGUGGUGGGUAUGGAGAUAUGGUGUGUGAUGAUGUGUCUUAUGGAAAUAUAAAUUUGUGGCUUUUAGGGGCUGUGGAGAGCUCUUCUAAGGGGUAGCAGGCACUGAAAAUCUGUGUUAGGAACAUGUGGGAAUGGUGGCACACGGUAAGGAAAAGAACUGAGCAGUUUGUCAUGAGAGCGGGUGGUAGAGGAUGAGGUCAAGGUGGAAGAGCUUGAAGUGAAUUUGUGCUCCAGUGCUGCUUAAUGCCUGUGGAGUGGGGCAGGGCAUUCAGGACUGAACUAGAUGUCAUCAAGAGGGCCAUGGAAAAGGGUUGCGUUUUUUUUUUCUGCUCGUGUCGCAUGGACAGAGAAGGGGAAGGGCUCAUCCUGCUACUGUUGGAUGGCCAGAAGGACUUGGCCAUUAAAAGGGUGCAGCAGUGCACUAGACUGCUGAGAGAAGGUGUGGAGCCUUCAUCAAUGGGAGUGUGGGGAAAAAGAGGUUAGAUAAACAUGGAUCAAAAAUGCUCUAGGAGUAACUAUACCUAUGCUCUACUCUGGCUCUGUCCCAUUAGGCAACCAGUGAAGCCCAGAAGCAGGCGGCUGGCAAAGAAUGGUUUUCUUACCCUUUGUGUGUGUUGUGGGAGGUAUUUUCAUUCCUCGGAAGCACUGGGUGUUGACUACCACCAAGGCUGGAGAUUGUGCCAAUGCUCCUGCCUCAAGUGAAAAGUAGAAGUCCAUGGCUAAAGCAUCUUGGCCCCUUGCUCAUGGUCAUACUGAUUUGCCACGUUUGGAGUGAGGAAGGAAUAUUAGCCCCUCAUAGGGAUUGACCCAUAUUGUGGGCAUAGGUGCCUUCCUGUAGCAGGGGCACAGCCCUCUUGCUUGUUCAUCGUUCUGCGUCUUCUAACAACCCUUUUAGGAAAAGGACAUGGGUUACUUGCCAUGGCUUCAUUUGUGGCAAGUUAGGGUUUUAUAUGUGGGGGUAGUUCUAGAAAAUAAGGUGGGGAUAGGCAUGAUCCUGCUUCAGGCCAGGGUUGGACUAGAGGACCUCUUGUGGACCUUGCCAGCUCUUUUACCUCCUUUUGAGGAAGAAGGGGUGCAGUGAUCUGAAUACGCUUGUGGAGGAAGGGAUGAUGGUUGGAAGGCGUGCAAAGAUUUCACAUGGGAGUUUGAGAGGAGGGAGUGGGGUGUGGUAAGCAAUGGGCUACUGUGCCUUCGUGUUAAACCUGCUGCUUCCCCACUUGCUGUGGUGUGCUGUAAUGGUUAUUCUGAUGACAGCCUGUCUCUUGCUAGAAUAUUGUGUGUGCUGUUCAGACUACAUGAACAACUUCCUGCUCUCUACUAGUGGCACUCCAGCUUUGGUUCAUACUGCUUUCAAUUCUUUCCUUCUCCCCCAGUUUCAUCAAGAAAUAGUUGCACUAUCCUUCUUCCUUCUCAACCCAAGGUGCCUUACCUAAAAAAAAAUAAAAGAAGGUAAUUUUAUAUCUUUCUGUCAAUUGCAUUAAAAGGAGAAUGGUUGUCUUCCAGACCUCCUACUUGUGCACCUUGUACAGCUUCCUCUUAAUGUCUUGCUUCCUUGUCUAUAAUUCCUCUAAUUCUUCAGUCCUCUUCAUCUUUUCCUGGCCCAAAAAAACAGAAAAUUCUCAUGGUUUUUUUUCUUCUGAAUCGUCUUCCACUACUCUAGCAUUCUCCUCAGCAUCUUCCAUCCUUCAUAUAACUUCAUGUUUCUUGACAAGCUUUCUCAUCCUGCAGUGUUUAACCAUGCAACUUUUAUACGCCUUUCCCACUGCUUGCACAUUUGUCCAAGCACGCUUGAAUUCUCAGGAUACGAUCACUAAAAGCAACAUCCCAAAUCUUCUUCCCAAUCAAAAUUCAUUUUGAUGCCAGGACAACCUCUGUUCUCAACACCUUCCUCCCCACCUAGUUCCUCUCGUGUGGCCACUUUCUCACCUGUGUGUGUGUCAAAUGCGUCUUUAUUGAUUAUUUCAUAUAACGGGCUCAGUGAGCUCAAACAUCCCCUCCCCUAACACCUUUUCUCCAAUUCAUUUAAUUAAAGUCCCCCACAGUGUCCCCUGUCUAUCCCCACCUACAUACCCUUUUUGGGGAGGCAAGGACCCCAGAAGAUGGGUAAAACUGUGAGUUAUAGUUACUCUAGUGCAAGUAGGGAUUUGUGGGGCCACAACCGUGGGCAAAGCAGAGUUCAUCUACUGUUUGAAGAUGGCAAGUUGGAUCCAUGGGACUCGAGUGUUGUUGUAGCCCAUGAUAAUUUCAAGCUGUGGAUUGUGACUCUUUUAUAUGCCCCUCUUUUCCAGAAAAAAAAAAAGCUCUCCAGCUAUUUUCACAGACAUCUUUGCUAAUUGGGCUGAGAUGAAGGGCUUAUGUUUUUGAUGUUGGAGAGGGAGCACCGGAAAAGGUGUUUUCCCCCUCCCCCAUCCGCUUUGAAUGGCUACUGAUGUGUUGGAAAUGGAGGACCUAGGAAGAUUGCUGGAGAGUUGGGUGGAAAGGUUUUUUGUAAAUGCCAAAUGUGGAUGGGGUCUUGGUUGGUGAGGGUUAUUUUAGAGGAAGAAGGGAAUUUGGGGGGGGGGGGGCAGUGCGUCACUUCCUUGCCAUCUACUAAAUUUGGGUCCAUAGGGGGGGGUAUGUGAAUUACUAUGGGAAGCCUAAGUUGUGUAGUAAACGUUGGGUUGGGGGUAAUCUUGUUGCGUUUUGCAUAUAUACAGUUGCUUUCAGUGUGUGGAAUGGGGGCACAAGGUGAACACUUGUAUGAGGAAAGCUUGAAUGCAUUGUUCGUGGAAGGGAGGGAUGCACUUGGAGAGAAUGUCCUUUACCAGAUGCCAAUGUUGCAUGGCCCAAGGGGGAUAGGGAGGAGGAUGAAAUAGAGGAAGGUGAGAGCGAGUCACAGCCUGCUAUAGAGGAAACUCCCCACAUCCAAAAAAAGGCUUCCAUAUAUUAAAAGAAACGUGGGGUGGUGGUGGAGACUUUUGAGGUGAGGAACAGUUGUUUUGUUUGUUUGUUCAUUUGUUUUGUUAGAACGAUUAGGGGAGGCGGGCAUUUUAUCUACUGCCUCAGUGGGAUAACUUGAUGGAGCAAAAAAGAGACGGGAAGAAGUCUGAGAAGGUUGUAAUUGGGGGUGGGGGGUACAAGGAUGGAGGAGGUUUGGGAAGGGAGGAAUUUUCCACGCGCUGUGACAAAAUCAGUUCGUGGUGCCCAGAAGGCCCGGGAUGCUGGUGAGCUGGGGCCUUCCCUGCUACCAGCAGGCCUUGCAGCCUCUCUCUUCCCCAUCCCUUAGCUCAGCUCACAAGGCUGCUUAAGACCAGACGCUGCCUUCGUCCAGCGUCGUCGUCUUUGACGAUGACCAAAGCCACAGUGGUGAGGCGGGGGGGGCACGUCCAGGUGAAGUCAAGUGAAAUGAAGGCAGUAGACCGAGACCCGGGUGAACUGAAGCAGGGAGUCGAGUUGAAGCAGCACACACCUGCCAGCUCCCGCCCACACGGUGGCUUUCCCGCAGGAGAGCCAGCCAGCCAGUAGAUCAGUCACCAUGCCACAGGACCGGCUGCUGCCCCCAGGGGUCCCACUCCCCCUCCAGCCCUGGGUGGGUUAUCGCUUUUCAGCCUCUUGAAGGCUCAGAUCGGGGGGGUGGCUGGGCUUAGGUCUGGCUGCUGCCUGGUCGGUUGUUUUCCACGCUCAAUGUGGACCCAGUGGACUUGAGUUGUGUCAUUGUGUUUGACAAUUGUAGACAAUGGCACAUGUCCUUCUGGCACGCUAAGGCUUCUACAGCCUUUUGGGAGGCGCAUAAGGCGGCUGUGGGGAGAGGGGAGCUGGAAGGUUUAAAUUUUGAAGUGGGCCAAAAAGCGCGGGAGCCGGUGCUGUUUGUCAAGAUGUACAAUGAUGUAUUGGAGGAGGAGGACAUGGUGCAUUGGUUGGAGGAGAGGGUGCAGAGAGUGUUACAUGUGGAGAGGGUAUGUGACCGGUGGAGGGUUUGGACCGGGUCGUGUUGCUGCACACGAGCACGGGUGUUGCUGCACGAGGAAGUGGGAACCCUGGGGGAGUGCGGCAUUUGCUGCCCGUGGUACAGAUUGGGCCUCAUGGAGGGUACGUUAUGUAUUACGAUCAGCCCAAGGUGUGCAGUAGAUGUGGGCUGGGGGGGCACUUGGCAGCCUUUUGCCAGCUUACUGUUUGUUUCCGGUGUAGGGGGAUGGGGCACAGAGCCCAGUUUUGUAAGGAAAAAGUGUGUACUGGUUGUAGGAGGGAGGGUCGCAUGCAAUGGGAGUGCCCAUACUCUUAUGCUAAUAGAGUACAGGUGCAGGAGGAACAGAGGAGCGGAUGGGGAGGUGGAGGAGGAACAGCUGGAGCUGUGCUCAGAGGAGGAAGAAAUGGUCAUAGAGGAAAUACCAGAUGGGGAGGAAGGGCAACAGGGUAUGGAGGAAGUGGUGCUAGAUUUAUCGGAGGAAGAAAUUGAGGGGGAGGAGAAGAGGGAAGAGCAGAAGGGAGAGGGGGAAGGUGGGGAUCUGGCAUUGAAGCAGCUGAGGGGCAUGGUGGAGCAACGGGGGGACACGGGGAAGCCCAAGGGGGAAGACUAGGCAGAAAAAAUGGAAACACUUGAGCAAGGACAGGAGAGGGGGUUUAAAGAAGAGAAAGAAACAGUGGGGUGGAAAGGGAAUAAAAAGGAAGUGGGAGUGGA